CUGGCCCAGCUCGUCUCCAGGCUCUCUGGCGAAUAACAGGAAUCUUUACCAUCCUUUCUGUUAGAAAGCAUUUUAUUUAAAAUUCCUCAGCUAACUCAAAGGGUCAGCUGGCCUGUCACAUGAAGUGGCUAUCACAUGGGGUAGAAACUGGCAAAUAAAUACAGCAUCGCACCUCAGCAAACUCAGACCAAGACGUUCACAGGCCAGCCCAGUCCAGGAGGAGCUGGAGGCUUUCAUUCUUAAACUAAGAGGUUUCCAGAAAAAGUGAAAUAAAGCUUAGGUGUGUUAUGCUGAAUUUUGGGCACCUGUCCCCAUCAAUAACUUGGCAUCCUCAAAAUGCUACAGCAGGACUCCAAGGGCCAAGAAUGCCCAUCCUCCGCACAGACCAGGGACGGCCAGUGGCAUCACUGUAGAGCUGCCUCUCAAAAAUUGGAAGAUGCCCAAAGGGAAGAGCUUGCUCCAAGGACAACUUGUUUGUUUACCGACCCUGGGGAUGGAGAGAGACACAUUCCUCAAAUAAUAAAUGCCAUUUCCCCUGCACACCCUGGAAAGAGUGCUGCACGUGGAACCUGUGGUUUAACUAUAGCAAUGCAGGUGAGCGACUCACGUGCAUUUCUGUGAUGGCAAACAGCAAGCCCUUGAUGUGCCUGGGGAAUGAUGGCUGCCAAAGUGCUGUGAGGGCUUGUCUUCAACAGGAGCCCGGAUCUGCUGCUCCUGGGAGAAGGAGCAGAGAAGAGGACCCUUGCAGCCUUAAAGGAAAGUGCCAAAUACCACUCUCUCUGCGUGUGAAAGCACCUGCUGUUCGGAUUCAGAUAAACACAUUUCAGCUCUAGCACACCCACAGCAUCUGUUCUCCCACCUUACACAGCAGCGCCUCACAGACUAGAGAACAGCACUUGAAGUUUCAUCAACUGGGCUCCAAGGGGGGAAAAGGCUGGCUGACAGUGGGAGCUACUCCUGCUCAGAAAGGAAGGGAGGGACUCUGUAUUCUUCCGAAUAUAAAACCCUAGUGAAUUUCCAGUAUUGCUAGGUGAUGACAGGAGGGCAUCGAAGCCCUAAAGGCUGGUAACCGAGCUGCCAAGCCAGGCUCUCCACGUGCCGUCAUUAGGAGUAGUGGCAACACAUGAGCAUCCCCCCUGCCCUGCCAGGCCCUGUCUUUAUCUCUGCCUUUCUCCCUUCCCUUUUUCAUCUGCUCCUCUUCUCUCUUGUUUCUUCUCCCCUUUCUUGACCUAAAAGUAAAGAGUGUCACCCUUCAGAUGUCCCUUGGCUACACUGUGGCCCCCAAUUUAAGGAGGUAACUGGUUCUCUGCAGCUCAGAAGAAAUGGGCCAGGGCCAACACUCAUGUGGCCUUGAGUCAAACGCCAGCUUGGCUGCUGUGCAGAAUGUUGUCUAUUUUCAGUGCCCAGAUUCUCCUCUAGAAGAUGAGGAUAAUGGGCCCCCACUGCCGCACCAUCGUAAGGAUGAUUUCAAGGAUAAGGAAGAUUGCCCUUCAGAGCAUUCUCAGAGGAAGGGCACGGUGUGAGUGGUGGGCAUUGUCGGGAUUGUUCAUUUACCUUCCAGGGUCCCUCAUUGAUGUCUUCCUCGUGUCUUUCUCAUCUCCUAAAGCAGGCUGCAGUCUAAGACUUGUGGGUGGCUCAAGAUCGUGCAAGGUGGGAUGCCUCAGCUGGAUUCAAGCAAAGAGCAAUUGAGAUCCUAAUCCAUGGCUCAGCCCACUGGAUCGCAGUGACCUCUGGUCUCAGUAGUACCUGGAAGCCCAGCCUUGGUGGAGGAAAUAAUGCACCUUCUCUCCAGUGGUGUGGAAAGCUGCCUCCUUCCCCAGAAACUGGGUGGAAUCCAGCUCUCUCUGUGUUUCUCAGCAUCUCACACCUGCCCAGCACAGCCUGCUCCUUGCAGAGCAGGUGUUGGCCGGGGAGACCCUCAGUCUGGCGAGGGGAGAGUCAGAGGACACAAAUCCACUUGAGAGAUUGACAGGCCCCAAGCUGAGCUUUCCAGGCUAAUUUAAAUGUUCCUAUUCUGUGACAUUUUGAAUUCAAUUUGUUUGCAUAUGAGGCAUCUAAAUCAGGACAGAACA